rnacentral:rRNA from 1 species
GAUGAACGCUGGCGGCGUGCCUAAUACAUGCAAGUCGAGCGAACAGACGAGGAGCUUGCUCCUCUGACGUUAGCGGCGGACGGGUGAGUAACACGUGGAUAACCUACCUAUAAGACUGGGAUAACUUCGGGAAACCGGAGCUAAUACCGGAUAAUAUAUUGAACCGCAUGGUUCAAUAGUGAAAGACGGUUUUGCUGUCACUUAUAGAUGGAUCCGCGCCGCAUUAGCUAGUUGGUAAGGUAACGGCUUACCAAGGCAACGAUGCGUAGCCGACCUGAGAGGGUGAUCGGCCACACGGGAACUGAGACACGGUCCAGACUCCUGCGGGAGGCAGCAGUAGGGAAUCUUACGCAAUGGGGGAAAGCCUGACGGAGCAACGCCGCGUGAGUGAUGAAGGUCUUCGGAUCGUAAAACUCUGUUAUUAGGGAAGAACAAAUGUGUAAGUAACUAUGCACGUCUUGACGGUACCUAAUCAGAAAGCCACGGCUAACUACGUG